UACGUAGGGUGCGAGCGUUGUCCGGAAUUAUUGGGCGUAAAGGGCUCGUAGGCGGUUUGUCGCGUCGGGAGUGAAAACCCAGGGCUUAACCCUGGGCUGGCUUCCGAUACGGGCAGACUAGAGGUAUGCAGGGGAGAACGGAAUUCCUGGUGUAGCGGUGAAAUGCGCAGAUAUCAGGAGGAACACCGGUGGCGAAGGCGGUUCUCUGGGAAUGUCCUGACGCUGAGGAGCGAAAGUGUGGGGAGCGAACAGG
rnacentral:rRNA from 1 species